UGUUAUUUAUUUCAAUACAUUCUUUCUUUUUAUAUGAUCGAGUUAUUCAGGUCUGGCUCAAUAUGGUGUCAUCUAAAGGCUGAUUUCAACUGUAUAAUUAGGCUCACGGCCUCCUGUCCUCCUGCCUGAUUUCUAUCAAACCACUGCUUCUUUUGGACCUGGUUUUACAUACAACAUUCUUCAUCAAUGCAAAAUAAUUUAAGACCGACAUUGAACCUCAGAAAUUUCAAUUACUGGGGAAGAGGCAGACAAAAAGCAUGGAGUAAUUUGUGGGAAGAAGAUAAUACAGUGUCACCUAGUGACAAAUUAGUGUACCUACACCACAUGGACUGCAGGGGUUCAAGAAGGCAGCUCACCACCACCUUCUCAAGGGCAACUAGAUUUGGGCAAUAAAUGCUGGCCCAGCCAGCGAAGCCCACAUCUGUGAAUGAAUAAAAAAAUGACAUCCCAGUGGUAUAAUUUAUGU